rnacentral:rRNA from 1 species
CCAUGCAAGUCGAACGAUGAGCCUUUCGGGGUGGAUUAGUGGCGAACGGGUGAGUAACACGUGGGCAAUCUGCCCUUCACUUCGGGACAAGCCCUGGAAACGGGGUCUAAUACCGGAUAAUACUUUCUCCCUCAUGGGGGGAAGUUGAAAGCUCCGGCGGUGAAGGAUGAGCCGCGGCCUAUCAGCUAGUUGGUGGGGUAAUGGCCUACCAAGGCGACGACGGGUAGCCGGCCUGAGAGGGCGACCGGCCACACUGGGACUGAGACACGGCCCAGACUCCUACGGGAGGCAGCAGUGGGGAAUAUUGCACAAUGGGCGAAAGCCUGAUGCAGCGACGCCGCGUGAGGGAUGACGGCCUUCGGGUUGUAAACCUCUUUCAGCAGGGAAGAAGCGCAAGUGACGGUACCUGCAGAAGUAGCACCGGCUAACUACGUGCCAGCAGCCGCGGUAAUACGUAGGGUGCGAGCGUUGUCCGGAAUUAUUGGGCGUAAAGAGCUCGUAGGCGGCUUGUCACGUCGGUUGUGAAAGCCGGGGCUUAACCCCGGGUCUGCAGUCGAUACGGGCAGGCUAGAGUGUGGUAGGGGAGAUCGGAAUUCCUGGUGUAGCGGUGAAAUGCGCAGAUAUCAGGAGGAACACCGGUGCGAAGGCGGAUCUCUGGGCCAUUACUGACGCUGAGGAGCGAAGCGUGGGGAGCGAACAGGAUUAGAUACCCUGGUAGUCCACGCCGUAAACGUU